UGGAAAUAUUCAAGUGAAGUACCUCACAACUGUACUUUAGUACAGUAGUUUUUUUAAUUUAAAAUGUGUUCUUGUAGGAGGUGGAACUGGAGCAGAGCGGUGUGCAGCUGCAGGACGUCCAGCAGGAGAGAGACUCGCUGCUACACCAGCUGCGUUCACAGAGCGACGGUCACCAGCGGAGCCUCGGCCGUCUGAACAGGAAACUACGGCAGCUCAGCAGGUCCAUGUGUGACUCUGAUCAGCUGACAGCAGAGCAGCUGAGAGCGCUGGCACACAUGGUGCAGGACACUGUGGACAAGAUCGACGGCAGAUUUCACGAACACACAGCGCUGCAGUGUGAGCACACACACACGCUUGAGGAGCUGAGGGCCGAACUGGAUAAAGCUCAGAGACACACACACAGACUGAGACAGAAGCUGGACCGGACCAGAGCCAGAGAGGGAGGACAGUGGUGCUUCAUACCUCCUGGACACACUGUGAGACUUUAAAAAUCGGUCAUGCUAAUUCUGGCUUUGGCUCGCUGCUCGUUGUGACUGAUGAGGCAGAGUUUACCUGAGGAAACCGAAACUGAAGAGCAGAACGUAGAAACUGUUUCAUAUUAUUGUCUCUGGAGACUUUGGUCAACAUCGUCCUUUCUGCAACAAAAAUAUUUCCACACAACUGACUACGUUUCUUUUUGCAACCAAAUGUUUUUUCCUGUGUUUCCUGCUGUUCAGGCUCCCAGUCUGGGCUCUCUGGGAACUCAGGACUCCGGGUUGGGGCUGCAGUACCUCAGACCUCCCGCAAGAGGAGGGUACUGUGUCUACUUCCCCCCGACACACAGCGACUCUGACACAGCAGCAGCAGCAGAGUGGAGGGACAGCGGAGGAGGAAGUGACGCUGACCGGAGCUCCAGAGGACGGACUCCUCCUGUUCCUCCUGCCCCAGCUGCAGCUGUCUCUGCUGGACUCGCUGACGGUCAGACUCCGCUGGUUGGACCCGCCUGGCUGCUCUGUGGCUCACCUGCAGGAGGCGCUGCGCUGCACUGUAACAUCCCAGAACACAGAGACACGGUGAGAAUCAGGCUUUUAAACCGGGAACCACAGAGACCUGAGAAGAGUGGGAAAACAUCUUCCAGGUCUGAUCUAAAUAGUUUUCUCUCCUGUGAGUAUGACUUAAAAUAUAGUAAAAAUAAUAAAGUCCUUUUUCAGAAAUCGUGCAAAUAGGUAAAAACAAUGUUUUGGCAGCUGAUU
rnacentral:lncRNA from 1 species